rnacentral:misc_RNA from 1 species
GUUCAGCUUCAUUACCACUUGAUAUAUUGUGUGACCCACGAAGGCGCCAACCCCAAACUUCACUUGCUGAUGAUCUUCAACUUGCAAACUAGGGACGUUCUAUAGAUGUCGCCCUUGAGAUCAUCUCCCUUUCAAAAAUCAUUGGCUUUGGCUAAACAAAUCUGCAUACCUCUAAGAAUAUCUGAGCUGGACUCAGCAACAGUGUCCUUGAAUGUCUCGCACGAGCCUUCGGCAACAAAAGGGAGUACUGCACGAUUGAGGAUAUUGUCCACCCUUUUCCCUACUGCUCUCCUCGCGUAAAGGAGUGUCGCAGACUAAAUUAGCAGCUGGGUCUUCAAAAGUUGCAUAUAGACAUGAUUGGAAGAUGCGACGGCAUUGGAAUUCGAGAGCCCAAUUUAGCUGGAACGUUGGAAGGACCCCUCAGAGCACUGCUCAUUGGAUCCCUCAGAAGUUUCUUGUUCAUCGGCGCAAUUCUGAACAGAGGAUCGAAAGAUCGCAAGUAAGGGUGGGUCUUCAAUUUCUACGAUGUUGUAUCUGAGGCAAUCCAAGUCCAUAGAAAUUGAUUUAUUGACAGGCGCAGGAGAAUCAAUUAGGAUAAGCAACCUUGCACAAUCAAUUAUUGAUUUGAUAUGGUGGAUAUGUGAGUUGCCACGUAGGACCCCCAAAGAUUCCCAACCAAGAAAAAAAAAUUUCUCAUUCCAUAUGUGCAGAGGGAUUCCAUGGAACCUUACCCAGAAUUGGUGGAAUUAAGCAUUGGUUCCCAUGGAGUGAAUUCAGAAAACCAUUGGUACAGCCAAGCCGAUUGAACAUCCUUGAAAGUGUCCAUGAUCAAAAUUGAAUCGAAAGUCAACAGUACUUGGUCACCACCCAUAGGAAAUAUUUUAAUCGAAUGAACACCCUCGGUAGCGAAGUACAGUGACAAAUGUUCGACUAGAAUAGGGUUCAAAACGGUAGCCACCAAAGAGGAAGAGAACCACUCUUCGUUUAUCUCCAAUUCGUCGGCUGAUUGCUUGUACCUUAAACCCGAAAGGUUUUUGCUGGAUCCCAUAUUUUGUGGUAAUUUGCUAGGAUAAACAUCCAAUCUAGCCAAAACCUCUUUUCCUGUUUGAUACUGUGAAGAGCUUCCUACCUCGGCUUUAACGUUCUGUGCAUUUCGGUUGGCCAGUUCUUUCGGCCUAUAUUCAAUAAA